UAGAUACCCUAUUAUAAAAAUUUAAAUUGAUUUACUAAAAAAUUAAUAGUUAAGUUCUUUAAAUUUAAAAAAUUUGGCGGUAUUUUAGUCUUAUUAGAGGAACCUGUUUAUUAAUUGAUAAUCCACGAUUAAUUUUACUUAUUUUAAUUAAUUCAUAUAUCGCUGUCAUGAAUAUAUUUAAAAAUUUAUUUUCUUUAUUUAUUUUUAUAAUUUAUGUUAAGUCAAGAUGUGGUUUAUAGAUAAGAAUAUAAUGGGUUACAAUAAAUUUAAUUUUUGGAUUUUAAAUGAAAAUUAAAAUGAAAUUGGAUUUAAUAGUAAAUUUAUUUA
rnacentral:rRNA from 1 species